rnacentral:lncRNA from 1 species
UUCUCUUUCUGGUUCAGAUCGGUUAAAUAAUAAUUUACAUAUCUUAAGAUUCACCUUUUUUAGAUGUACAGUGCUAUGAGGUUGAUAAAUGUAUACAGUUCUGGAACCAAUACCACAAAUAAGAUAUGGAAUGUUCAUUUCAUCUCAAAAAAUUUGUUCAUGUGGAUUUGUAUGGUUCUCCUCACAAUCACUGAUCUCGUUUCUGUCCCAUUAUUUUUUCAGAAUGUCAUAUCAAUGCAAUGAGACAGUAGAGAGUCUUUUCUUGUAUAGCUUCUUUCACAAGAAUACUGUCUUGGGAUUUAUCCACAUAAUUAAAUCUAUCAGAAGUGUGUUUCUUUUUAUCACUGAUAAAUAUUUCAUCUUAUGGAAAUACAAGUAUUUUUAGGUAUUCAUCACUUGAUAUGUACUUAAUUUAUUUUCAUGUUUUUGGCAAUGUAUUUAUCAGGAUCCCAUCAGAAGAGAUGGAGUUUCAAUAACUGAAUAACAGAUUUCAGAAAAAUUAUGAAAAAAAAUUAUAGACAUGUUAAUAUAAAAAGUAUAAUUUUAGUGCAUCGGUUUCUAGUUCAAGGGGUCAUAAAAUCUCAACCAGAUUUUAAUAAACUAUGAUAACAGCCUUCAGAUGGAAAGCAGGUCACAUAAAAAAAAACUGGGAAUUAGAAUGGCAUGGUAAUUCUCACAGGAAGCACUAACUACAGAGUCUGAGUAAAAAUAUUUUUCACCCAUCCUAUACUCAUACAUCUUAGAAAAUACAGCAUCAUAAAUGGAAUAUUGGUAGAAAUACGAGCAUUAAAGGCAUGCCUAGUGAGGGUUCAUAAAGAAAUGAGGAAAAUGCUUAUUAGAAAGUGGAGGAAAAGUAAUCGUUAUUAUGUAGUAGCAGAAAGCUUGGCGGAAUUGUGUCCUACAGUUAGUUAUGUGGAAAGCAGAACCUAUAGGAAAUGAACUUUAAUAUCUAGCUGAGGGGAUUUCCAAGCAAUGUGCUGAAGGUAGAGCCUUGUUUCUUCCCAUUGCUUACAGUGAAAUGUGAGAAAAGAGAGAGAUUGACGGAAGCGGUGUUAGGAAAAAGGGAAACAGGACCUGAUGACUUGGGAAAUUCUCAGCCAAUCCAGAUUGCAAAGGCACUAAAAUUAGGAGAUUCAUAAUCAAGAAAGCCUGUUCUGGACAGAAAGCCAAGGUGUGGCUGGACAACCUUUUGCUAGUACUUUGGAAGGAUCAAAGGAUCAGAGUAUUCAAUUACACACAUGGCCUUUUGAAAGGAUUAGAGCAGUGAAUCAUGGUUCCCCUCAGCCCUCCAAGCAGAAGCCAGGAAUAGAGAUGGUAUUAUAAAAAAAAGAUUUGUGGAUGAGCCUCUUGUCUAGUGGAGAGAAUCCCUGAAACAUACAGGGAAUAUUUGCAAGAUUCUUAAGAAUGUUGUGCCAACAGACAUACUCAAUGUCAGCUUGAACUAAAAGGGAGACAGAACAAAAGGAGGGAAGGCUAUUGAAUUCUCCAAAUUCUACAUGUAGAAAACAAAUUGAUAAAACUACUCAGCUGCAAACAUGUAGAGUCUCUACAAUAGCAGCAGAGCCAGGAAACACAGAGAAUGAUUCUCAAGCUUUGAAACCUAAUGUUGAAUGCAAAAACAGAUUUUGAAAUUGCUCACCUCUGGUGAUUCCUUUUGUGAACUGGAUAUCUAUUAGUGUUAUCUGAUCCCUAUCUCACCAUAGUAUUUUAGGAGGCAAUAUCAUGUUUUAUAGUUUCACAGAUCUCCCAACGGAGAAUAAUUUUGCCCCAGAGUGGAUAAUAGUGAACGCCCUAACCAUGACUAAUUUAGAUAAAUUAGAUUACAAGAUUUGGGCCUUCCAUGAUAAUGAGACCUAUAUCCUAAUUUCUGGAACCUGUGAAUAUGUUGUGUGUAAAGUACGAGACUCUGGGGAUAUUAAGUUAAGGAUCUGGAGAUGGAGAGAUUAUUCUGGAUUAUUUGGGUAGACCCAAUGUAAUCAUGAAGGUCCUACAAAAGGGAGGCAGGGGUGUAAGAAUCAGAAAAGACCAUGUGAUUGAAGAUUGGAACUGAAAGAGAGAGAGUGAUUAGCAGAUAUUUGCUGUUGGCUUUGAAGAUAUAAGAUAGGCCACUUCUACAAGUCAAGGAUGCAGAAAGUAUCUAGAAGCUAGAAAAGGCAAGGAAACAAAUUUUUCUGUAAAACCUUUAAAAGGAAUGCAGUUCUAUUGAUCAAUUUUAGACUUCUAACCUCCAGAACUGCAUGAUAAUGCAUUUGUAUUAUUUUAAGACGUUAAGUUGUGGCUUCCCCUUCCUAACUCCACCCGUACUACCACAGCCACCUUGUCCCUCUCCCAUUCUCCUACCUUAGGGUAGAAGGAAUAGAGGAAAAAUAAACAGAAACCAGAAAUUGUAAUGCAAUAUGAAAGAUGUGUUUUAUGGAGUUUUCAGAAACUUGAAACAAUUCAAUAGAGGGGUUUAUCAGAGUUCUUAGAUUGGGGCCCCAUUGGUGUCUUUCCUUCAUAGGAUAGAUGUAAACAGGGUGGACACUGGACCACACGGCAGUGUAUUAAACUGGUGAGUGUCGUUCGGGGGCUCUAUGUCCCAUUCUGCAAUGUAAGGAACCGCCAUGUAAGUAGAAGGUUAAGUAAUGCUGUCGGGUUUACCAGUCUGGCUAAAAGUCACAGUAGGAGAUCCAGACACAGGUAUCCUUCUGGAAAAUACUUGAAGAGGAGGCUUUCUCAAAGCAAAAGUCUCCAGGCCAAUACAAAGAAAUUUGUAUUGUUUUAAAUCAUCAACUUUGUGGUAAUAUUUUACAAUAGCAGUAGGGUGCUAAUAUAUCAUCCAUACUAUUAAUCAAGGGUGAAAGCAACAUAAAAUUACCCUCAGAUAUAGCUAGAUCCCAAAAUUCAUUUUAUGUACUCUUUUUCUAGGAGGAUCUUGAAGGACGUGUCUUCCAAACAGAGUAUAGUUCCAAAGAAGACAUGGUAUCCCAGCAACCAAAUGUACAACACAGGAGACAGAUGAAUUUCUCAUUCUUGUAGGCUACCAUUUCUUUUGGCUUAUUACAAAACAACAGGAUGCUGCAGCUUUAUCAAAGUCUACUUAUUUGUCCACUAAAAGUUUAUGGCUAUACGUUUCCAACUAGAACAUCUGAACACCAAUAUAUGGAAUUCUGACAAAGUUAAAACCAGGAAGAGAUCCUAUGAAGGCUGACAUUUUGUACAUCUGUUUUAUAGAACAAUAAAAAUAAGAAGAACAAGAAUAAGAACAGCAACAACAUUUGCAGCCACUGUCUAGACCACAGGAAACCUGGUCAACAACAUAUGGGAUGUCACCAGAUUCAGACUCAGAAGUUUCCAUAAUGCCGUUGCCAACAGCUAGACACAGUAUAUGAUCAAUUCUCACCAAUACCACCAAUAUCACCAAUAGAUAAUGAGGACUGGAACUCUUUAUCUCUAAAAGAUGACCUGAAACACUAUGGAAAAGGAAGAUGCAUUACAACACACUAUCAAAGCAUCAUUUUCAGAUACACUGAGUCCAUCUUCUCAUGGACAUGAUGACAUAGGUACCAUCAUACUGCCCAUAUCGUGCUACCUCCUCAACUAAUUUCCUUUCUCUUUCAGGGACCCUGGCAGUGGCUCCUCCUAGGUUGUUCCUAAGCCCCACAUCCCCUGGCACAGCUUCCUUGGAAGAGUUGUCCAGCAUCUUUGACACCCAGUGACUACAUUGAUCGUGCUUCUAAGGCACCCUUGUAGUCAGUCAUCGCAUUGCUGGGAUGCCAUAAUUAGUGUGAGGAAAUAAUUAUCAGAAUCAGACGAUCAAUUCUAUAUUUAGGCUUUCAUUCCAAGUAGAUCUGAUGGCUAUAGCGCUGUUUGCUAAGAAAAUCUCAAAGAAUUUGGAACUGAAAUAGUGAAUUCUUUGGGGCUCAGGUGGAAUAGAAUUUCUCUCCUGACUCCAAGUGCGUUUGUCACAACAAAAGUGCGGGAGAAGGAAACUACUGUAGAAAAGGCACGCAACACCAUCAAAGGCCACCAGUGGUUGCAAAAAGCCGUCUAUGCAACUGUGAUCUCUGGAAAUACCAGCUCAAGGCUUUUUUGUUUGCCUCAAUCUGACGUGGCCUCACCUGCCUCCUUUAUUUUCAGUUGUGAUCUGGAUUAGAUGACAAUUCCAGUGAUUGGUUUAGACCUAUAUAGCUAGCUGGCAUUUUCUCAAUGUAUCAAGGAGUCUGUAUGUCUCUCUUCCUACACACCUGCUAGGUCUCAACUUAGCUAUCUGCUAUAGCUUGUAUAUUAAAAGAAUGCCUGAUAGGUCUAGGCCUGGCUUACUCCUUAUCUGCUACCUCUAAGGCCCACACAGAAACUGCCCAUGUGUUAUGUAGUCCCCUUUCCCUCUCAGGUCUUCAAACAGCUACAAAGUAUCUCAGCCUUCAGCAGUUCAGAUUUCUUCUUCCAGCAAAUCUUCUAGAGCACAGCUCAGAGCAGUAGCCCUGCAGAGCUAUUUACUCUUCAGUGACAAGGACCUUCUCUUCCUCUUCACUGUAAUGAUGCAUCCUUAUGGUUACUCUGUGGGCCUGCAUAUCACCUAAAAUCUGAAACUGCUCCACUUCUAAAAUCUUAAUCCUCAACAUACCAAUGUUGGAAUACAUCUUCUUCUUCCACAUUCUUAUUUUCAUUACAUCCCCUUCUUGCGCUUAACUAGAUGCUUGUUUCUGUUCCCCCCACAUUCACAGAAUAAAUUGCCAAUCCUCUUUCAGCCUUGCUUCCUACUAUGUGCCUCUUGGCUACAUCUUAUGACUUUAUACUAUAAUGACGCUGCCACCACUAAUCCUGACUGCUUUCCCUCUGUGGGUCCGACUAAUCUGUUUUUAAAUCCUCUAUGGUUGGGUAAAGCCAACUAUUCCACCUUUUUGUUCCAAGACCUAGGCUACUCAGAACUGGUUUAGAACAUCAGAAAAUGGUGACAAUUGACAACGCCGCAAAUUCCCAAACUCCAGCUCUGGACUGGCACUUCAAUACUGCCCAGAACCCCUUCUAUAAGUGCGAUCAGCUCUCUCUGCUUUGCCAUCUAAUAAUUUUCUGCUUAGUACAAGAAUAGUUUAAAAACUCUUGGAUUUCUAAAACAAGGACUAUCACAACCAAUUCCUACUCAGCCUGUCUAAAUCUAUAAUCAACUACUUUGCAGUAAAACUGAUUUUUUUCUCCUACAUUAUCCAUUAUAAUAAAAGGCAACAUAAUGUAUUUAGUAACCCUUGUGAAACUUCUGGUAUAGCCUUCUCCUUUUCUCCAUUCAAACAGUCACUAAGCAUAUGAAUUGCACUUCUUUAUUAUUCCUCCUCUCAGUCUCCUGCCCUGCCAGAUUUCUGGCCACCAUUGCUUCUGACACGGUCCCAAGGACACUGGCUAUCCUCACACUGCUGUCUGAUAAAUAUUCCUACAAUGCAAACCAGGCUCAAUUAUAGGACUGUGCAUAAUUAUGCAUAGUACAAUCCUCCUGCCCUUUUCCUUUACAUAAGAUUAAAUCUAGACUAUCAUGCAAACCUCUCCCAUCUCCAGCCAUUUCUCAUCUUGAACACCUCAAGUAGCCUGAUUUCCUCACCACUGCCAAAGGCAAAGUGCUACUCUGUGCACUUCUUUCUUUGUUGAAAACACAACCUUAAGUUGUUGCUAUUAUGCAGAUUUUUCUCUAUGUCCAAAGUGGACAUGUUAAAGUCUUCUAAAAUUCUCCAUAAGUCACACAUUAUAUGUGUACACUUGCCAGAGAAUGUAUAUGGGUAUUUCUUGGGAUAACUGAAUUUAGCUAUUGCUAUGAAGAAACAUACUUGAUAUCAUCUGCAAAAGAAUAUAUUGCAGUUGUAAGUAAUGAAUAAAAUAUGUGGUGAAAUCAGUGCACCAACCUAGUGUUUUGAAUCAUAGUAAAAUAUUUAGCACUUAUCCUGUGCCAACAAGAGUUCAAAAUGUUUUAUAUAUAUUAACUACUGUUAAUCAGCUUAACAAUUGUGUGAUUUCUACCAUUUUAUUUUCACAGAUGAAGAAACGGCUAUAUAGAGAGAUAAAGAAGCUUGCUCAAGGAUACACAGCCAGAAAGCAAAAGAGUUGGAGUUUGAACUUCGACAGUCUAACUCGAGGUUCUUUCUCUGUGUUUAAUCAGUCAACCACACUGCCUCUUCAGAAGCACGCAUAAUGUAUGCUCUAAAAAGUAAUGUCAAUGUAUUAGGUGUCAAACAGUAAAUGAAAUUUCUCAGAAUACUGCUCUCUACCAUAUCAAUAGUAGAUUUAAUACAACCACCAGGCAAAUCAAGCUAAGAAACUCAGCCCUGGAGAUCAGACCAAACUGGUGGCCAGCCAAGAAAUAGACAAAGGAAUGUUCAGGGGCAGAGUUUAGGGAGGUUGGAGUGUGUGUUCACAGGGGCAGAGGGAGUAAGGGGUGAUGUGCGGUCAAGGUUUACAGGUUAGGGCAUGGAUCAUAGAGGUGAUACCAGGGAAGGGAGUACAGGAAAUAAUCCCAUCCAAGUAAGAAAUCAUCAGAUGCAUGGUUCCGUUUUUAAGCUGCCAAAAUUAAGAAGGUGGGCAUGAAUUUGCACAGGACUGUGGAAAACAGAAGUUUCUGGGUCUGGCUUGGGAUUUUACACAGCUGCAUUAUGGGGGUAUCACUAUAUGAUUUCUAAGCAAAGAUCUCUUGGUUUGAGAAGCUUUCAUGGACAGAGAGACUGCUCAUAUCCCCAGAAUGGGGCAGGGAUAAAUGGGAGAGAGAUGGCAGAGAAGUUAUCACUAAUGAAGCGUCCCAGGUAUUCUGUUGUAUGUCUAGAGGUGAAAAUAGAAAGCUCUGCUCCUUAAAAGCUAUGAGAACUUAAGAAAGUUCAUGACCAUUUGUAAGCUAGGGUUAUUAAGAGGGUCUGUUUUAUAUGGAUCAAUUAAGUAACAAACACCUUUUGAAAUAUAAGUUGAACACAGCUUUUUUAGAAAUUUGUAAACUUUAUUUUGAUAAGCCAAAACACAUAUAAAUAUUCAUAUUCCUCUCCUCACAUUUUUAUAAGAAUUCAAGCUAGAAAAAAUUAACUAUGUUGAUAGGCUUAGAGAAAAAUUAGGUGUCAGUGUCCCACAGAAUUCUCUCCGUCUAUUAGUUACAAUGAAUCUUAACAGUUUAUUUUUUAAUAAGUGGAAUAUGUUAAUCAAUUAACUGAGCUAAAGCUAUUACCUAAUGAGGUAGAAGGGUAAAUUAACUGAAAUGUGACUGGCAUUCUUCAAUAUAAGAAAGACACUAUUAGCCUGGGAAUCACGUGGAUAUUCUGUGGAUUCACAGACACAUUAGUCCAUGUGCCUUCAGUACAGCUUUACAUGCAGCUUGUUCUAAAAUCUCAAGUUAGCAAGUUUCUGUAUUCCUAAAAGGUAAUAAUUAGAACCAGAGUAUCUGGGGAAGUCGCCACACAGCAAUAAAUAUUGGGUCUCUAGAGCCAAGUCUUAACAUUUUGUUUUCUUAAUAGCUUAAAUUAUUUAUGAACAUGUGUUUGAACAAUUCUUAAAUCCAGUAGCUAAAUUGAGUUGCAUAUAGGCCUAGAAGGGUCUAGGCUAGGGCCGUUCUGUGGAAAAUCUGUUAAGUCAGGAAGCAGAAAUAAUUCUGCUUAAUCUUUGAUUGUCAACCAUAGUGGGGGAUGGUAAGAAUAAUGGGAGACUUUAUAUAAAGGCAGCUGCUUAUAAUUGAGGCAUUGUCAGCUGACCACAAACAUUUGUUUCCACUGAGAUAUUCCUAAUGAGUGCUACUGUUGAAGGCAAUGCAUUAAUAUUUAUGUGAUUAUUGUUUUAUAUCUAAGAAGGGAUCAAGAGGGUAAUCAAAUAUUCAUGUUACCAGGCAAGCAAUGGGCUCACUGCCUGAUGAGCAUAGAAAUCAAUACCAUGGCACCAGCUUUUGAGAAAAUAAAAGCUUUAUUGCAAGUGAUUGGCAAGGAGACAAGAGGCAACACAAAUAUGUCUCCCAGUGCUGGGGGCUGGGGCAAAUUUUAUAGGCAGAGGGUAAUGAUAUGAUUGGAUCUGGCAAUGAGAAAUGCUGUGAGGCAUGAUCGGACUGGAUUGUGCCAUGAAAUGAUGCCAGGGCUUGAUCUGAUUGGAUCGUAUAUCAAGACAUGAGGUGUCCACUUAUUAAUUCAGUCCCCCAUUUCUUGGUCUGAGCACUUAGGUUCCACCCAUGCUUGCAGGCUUAGAUAAUCUGGACAUGCUCAGGUUGCAUAACUUGCAACCUAGGGAAUCCAUGGCAACUGAAAACUCACCAUUUUAUUACACAAAGUUGAGUCAGAUUAGGCUGGUUCUGUGGUUACAAUAAUCUACCACAGAGUUUUUUAAGAUUUAACUUCAAAUAUCCUGCAUCAGAACCAUCUGGAAAACUUGAGAAUCAUCGCAGAAUGUACAAAAUGUUUGCUAGUGUAGCCCGGUAAUAUUCAUGUUUUAUUCUUUCUGGGCCUCUGCCAAUGCUUUCUGAGAAUAUUCCUGAGAAUCAUCCACUUUGUAGCUACUCAUAAAUAUGAUGUUUGGUGACAGAUCGCCUUCACUUCCCCAGUACUUCCAACACUUGUGAGUGCCUUUACUUCACUGUAUUAUAUCUCUUCCUACUCAAAAUACACAGAAUGCCUUCUGCUUUCCAGACUGAAUCCAAACUGAUAUGCUCAGGUGAUAGAGAAAAGACACUGAAAUUAAAAAUGUGACUUCCGUUUUACUAUUGCUAAUAAUGAAGCGUCCUUUUACUCUUUUAUAGUAGGUGAUCUCCCACCAGAGUGUACCAACAAGUGGAUCGGUCAAGAUAAAUCAUUACAGUGUGUCGAGAAACUAUUAGAACACCUAUUUAAAGGCAGUCUUAAUUUUUCUUAAGUUCUAAAAGCAUAAAUGAAUGUCAAUAUUUAUAUGUGUAAGCUGUUAAAAAUUACAACAAAUACUCUAAUGCUUAUCAACAACCCUGGUAACUAAAACAUCAGCAAUAUUUCUGAGUUUCUCUUCAAAUUCAUCUUCUCUUUUCUGCUGUUUGUCUCUUUCCCAAAGUAUACAUUGGUAAUAAAACUGAAAUUUUGGUCUUCAUUUCUUUACUCCAUUUGCAACUUGCUUUUAUAUUAACUAACACAAGGAUUUUCAGAUUUAAUUUAUGUAACUUCUCUAGUAGCUACAGUUCACCCUUUUUUACUACAGAAAAGUUUUGUAUUAUGAGAAUGUAACACAAUAUGUUAAUUUAUUUUUCUCCCUGUAAUUAUUAUGAUUCUUUUUUCGGUACUUUUGUUCGUUCGUUUGUCUCAUUUGUUUUGCCAGUAUACACAGUGCCACUGUUAUAAGCAUUCAAUAUUUGUUAUGUAACUACUGGCAAACAUAGGUCAAUGUUUCCAUAUAUAUUCUCUCAGGAGAUUUCUGUCUUGUUGGGUCUUCACAUUCUCAGCUUCAUUAGAUAAUGCCAAAUUGCUUUUCAAAAUAUUCCCACUAGUGUAGAGUCUAUCGGGUUUGUAUGAGUUCCCGUUAUUCUACAUCCUUGCCAAAGCUUCAUGUUUUGGGACUUGUUAAUUUUUGCCAAUCUGGUGGGUGUAAAAUGGUAUCUCAUUGUGGCUUUAAUUGGAAUUUCCCUGAUUACAAAAGCGGUUAAACUCCUUUUACAGAAUUAAGAGCUAUUCAUCAAAAUGCCCGUUUGUGCAUAUUGCCAAUUAGUAUGCUGAGUUAUUUAUCUUUUUCUUACUAAUUUGUGGGAGGUUUUCAUAUGUUCUGGAGAGUAAUCCUUUGUUCAUUACACAUUUGUUGAACCAGUCUGCAUUGUUUCUCUUUGCAUUUUUUGUAUUUAUUGCUACACAGAAAUUAUUAACUUUUUUCUCA